CGCUGCAGACAGAGAGCACAACACAUACUUGCCAGGGAGCGUCUCUGCCUGAUCCCGGCAGCUGGGCUCCGAGCACAGCACAUUUCUGCUUCCUGGGACAGUCCCAGGCCUGGAUGCCAAAGCCCAGAAUUCUCAGUCCCUGGGAGAGGCAGAAGGUGGCCGGCAGCCGAGGGCAGGAGAUGCAGAGCACAGCCAAUUACCUGUGGCACACGGACGACCUGCUGGGCCAGGGGGCCACUGCCAGUGUGUACAAGGCUCGGAACAAGAAAUCUGGGGAGCUGGUUGCUGUGAAGGUCUUCAACGCCGCCAGCUACCUGCGGCCCCGCGAGGUGCAGGUGAGGGAGUUUGAGGUCCUGCGGAAGCUGAAUCACCAGAACAUCGUCAAGCUCUUCGCGGUGGAGGAGACGGGGGCCAGCCGGCAGAAGGUGCUGGUGAUGGAGUACUGCUCCAGCGGGAGCCUGCUGACCGUGCUGGAGAGCCCUGAGAAUGCCUUCGGGCUGCCCGAGGAUGAGUUCCUGGUGGUGCUGCGCUGUGUGGUGGCCGGCAUGAACCACCUGCGGGAGCACGGCGUCGUCCACCGCGACAUCAAGCCCGGCAACAUCAUGCGCCUCCUCGGGGAGGAGGGGCAGAGCAUCUACAAGUUGACGGACUUCGGGGCCGCCCGCGAGCUGGACGACGACGAGCACUUCGUCUCGGUCUACGGGACGGAGGAGUACCUGCACCCCGACAUGUACGAGCGGGCCGUGCUUCGCAAGCCCCAGCAGAAGUCGUUCGGGGUGACCGUGGAUCUCUGGAGCAUCGGGGUGACCCUGUACCACGCAGCCACCGGCAGCCUGCCCUUCAUCCCCUUUGGGGGGCCGCGGCGCAACAAGGAGAUCAUGUACCGGAUCACCACGGAGAAGCCGUCCGGGGCCAUUGCAGGCACCCAGAGGCAGGAGAACGGGCCCCUGGAGUGGAGCUACGCCCUCCCCAUCACCUGCCAGCUGUCCAUGGGCCUGCAGAGCCAGCUGGUGCCCGUCCUGGCCAACAUCCUGGAGGUGGAGCCGGCCAAGUGCUGGGGCUUCGACCAGUUCUUCGCGGAGACCAGCGACAUCCUGCAGCGCGUCAUCGUCCACGUGUUCUCGCUGCCCCAGGCCGUCCUGCACCACGUCUACGUCCACGCCCACAACACGAUAGCCAUCUUCCUGGAGGCCGUGUACGAGCAGACCAGCGUGGCCCCCCAGAACCAGGAGUACCUAUUUGAGGGUCACCUCUGUGUCCUCGAGCCCAGCCUCUCAGCACAGCACAUCGCCCACACGACCGCAAGGAGCCCCCUGACGCUGUGUAGCGUGGCCACUGAGACCCCCAAGGGCCUGGCCUUUAAGGACCCUGCUCUGGACAUCACCAAGUUUGUGCCCAAAGUGGACCUGCAGGCAGAUUACAACACGGCCAAGGGUGUGUUAGGUGCCGGCUACCAGGCCCUGCGGCUGGCACGGGCCCUGUGGGCCGGGCAGGAGCUGAUGCUGCGGGGGCUGCACUGGUUCGUGGAGACGCUCCAGGCCACCUGCCGGCGGACACUGGAGGUCCUGCGGAUGGCCCUCCUCUUCCUCAGCAGCAGCCUGGGCACCGAGAGGUUCAGCCACAUGGCCGGGAUGCCCGAGGUCCAGGAGCUGAAGAGGGCGGCGGAGCUGAGGUCGCAGCUGCGGACUUUGGCCGAGGUCCUCUCCAUCUUCUCCCACAACGUCACGGAGAAGCAGACGAGCCUGAGCAGCCUGAGCUCGGAGCUGGCGAAGAGCCGGGAUCAGGUACAUGAGGACAGAAGCAUCCAGCAGAUUCAGUGCUGCCUGGACAAGAUGUACCUCAUCUACAAGCAGUUCAGGAAGGCCCGGAUGAGGCCAGGGCUGGGCUACAACGAGGAGCAGAUCCACAAGCUGGACAAGGUGAAUUUUAGCCAUUUAGCCAAGCGGCUCCUGCAGGUGUUCCAGGAGGAGUGUGUGCAGAAGUACCGGGCGUCGCUGGUCACGCACGGCGAGCGCAUGAGGGUGGUGCACGAGGCCAGGAGCCACCUGCGCCUGGUCGCCUGCUCCGUGGCUGCCUAUAGCACCGAAGCCCAGAAGGUGCAGGAGGGCCUCAGCAAGAUCCUCGACUGGCUGUCUCUCCAGCUCCUGCAGGACAGAGCAAAGGGGGCCCAGGUCCCCCCCACCCCCACGGCUCCUUAUUCCAGUUCUGCACCCAAGGACCUGGGUCUCCAGCUAAAGGACCUGGGUUUCCAGGAAGGGGUCGGUCAGGGCAACUUCGGCCUCAGGCACAGCGGCCGCUCUUGCCUCUGCCCUGGACAGCAUGGAGGAGCUCUGUAAGGAGAUGAAGCUGCUGGCCUCCGACCUCCAGGACAACAACUGCAUCAUCGAAAGGUUAAGUCGGGUCCAAUCGGCCCCUGAUGUCUGAGCUCCGUGGGUGCACAGGGCAGCCUGAAGCAUUAGAAUCAUGGGACCCAACGCAGGACUGUCCCUGUCCCAUCACCAGCCUACCUCCCUCCUGGCCGUCCGCUGGGAGAUGCCACAGCAUUACCUUCACUGCCUGUCUGCGGGCAGCACGCAGGCCCCGGGCACCACACAGCUGUCAGGACCCACCUGACACCCUACGUGGGCUCAGGCACAGCUCCUCCUUGGCCAGGCGCACGCUCCCCUGGCACCCACGGCUGAACAUUGCGGGGGCCCCGGGAGAGAGGCUCUGACAGCCCCCCUCCCCGGUUUACAGGGCACUGCUCCUCAGGGAACAGAAGAGGAGGCCCCACGGGGGUUCCCCAGGGUGCUGGGCCACGCGGCCUAAUCCCAGUCUUCCUUCCUCUUGUGGUGUUUCUUGUUUCUUGUUGAACAUGUAGCCCUCUCCCCUCUCCUCUGAUUCCUGAGGGUCACACACUCGGCCACAGGCAUCGCAGAGUCUGACUUGCCUUCUGCUCUGGGUCUGGCUGAGCCUUAGGGUGAGAGAGUGGGGGGUGGGGGCGCCAUGUCCAGGGACCUUCCCCUUCUCUCUCCCUCGGAGGCACCACCAGUUCUGGGAUGUCAGCCAGCUGGUCAGGAAUGGCCAUGCGAUUAGCACAGGCCUGUAAGCCCACAGCCCGAGGGGAGACAGGCCUGCGCCUUUAAGAAGUGCAAUAAACGUGCCUUCCUUUCUGUU